UACGUAGGGGGCUAGCGUUGUCCGGAAUCAUUGGGCGUAAAGCGCGUGUAGGCGGCCCGGUAAGUCCGCUGUGAAAGUCGGGGGCUCAACCCUCGAAUGCCGGUGGAUACUGUCGGGCUAGAGUACGGAAGAGGCGAGUGGAAUUCCUGGUGUAGCGGUGAAAUGCGCAGAUAUCAGGAAGAACACCGAUGGCGAAAGCAGCUCUCUGGGGCGGUACUGACGCUGAGGCGCGAAAGCGUGGGGAGCGAACAGG
rnacentral:rRNA from 1 species